ACUGAAUAGAUACCCAGGUAGUCCUGGCCCUAAACGAUGUCUACUAGAUCGUGGCGGCACUGACGCCGUCAUGGUCGAAGCAAAAGUGUUAAGUAGACCGCCUGGGAAGUACGGUCGCAAGGCUAAAACUCAAAGAAAUUGACGGGGGCUCACACAAGCGGUGGAGCAUGUGGUUCAAUUCGAAGCAACGCGAAGAACCUUACCUGGGCUUGACAUGCUAGGAUUAUCUUGAUGAAAGUCGAGUAGGCCCCGCAAGGGGUACAACUAGUACAGGUGCUGCAUGGCUGUCGUCAGCUCGUGUCGUGAGAUGUCGGGUUAAGUCCCUUAACGAGCGAAACCUUUGCCCUUAGUUGCCAUCGGGUUAUGCCGGGCACUCUAAGGGGACUGCCGGUGUCAAACCGGAGGAAGGUGGAGAUGACGUCAAGUCCUCAUGGCCUUUAUGCCCAGGGCUACACACGUGCUACAAUGGCGUCCACAAAGCGAGCCGAGAGCGCAAGCUGGAGGAAAUACGCAGAAAUGACGCCCCAGUUC
rnacentral:rRNA from 1 species